GAUAGAAUGAUAAAUACAUAUAAAACUCAUUCAUAAAUAAAAUAUCUCGAGUUCGAACUCAAAAUACCAUAAAAUAUUCAAGUUAAUAAUUUCGACAUUUGCUUAUGACAUAAAAAACAAUUAAUUUCAUGAAAAGCAAUAAAAUAAAUUAUUUGUACAAUAUAAAAUAACUUUUUUUUGUUAAAAAUGUAUAAAAAUGCUAACAAGUGCAAGAAGAUUUAAAAAGAAACAAUAUUUUUGAACAUGACUAAUGAACCAGCUCAUGUAAAUUAAUUUGUUACAUAAAUGAAACAAUAAAUUAAUUAAAGGACACAAAGUUUGGUUGUGGAGUGGGGACCAAUUAUGAUUAUGAAUGAAUAUGAGUUGUGUAUGUGUCUGCAUCUUUUAGAUGGAAGCUGCAAGAGUUUGGUAAGUUAGGCAAAGUAAACAGGUGAACUAAUUAAUUGCACAGUUGUGACAAAUCACAUUAUGACACACAAACCAGCCUGUUUUAAUUCUUUUAUUAAAUCCUUCAAAAAAACACAUCAUUUAUUUUCCGAUAACAGUCUCUUUCUUUUCUUCUUUACACAACCACACCAUAAAUUUAAGAUACACACACGCAAGAGAAAUUAUCGUAAAGUUUGAUUAAAUUAAUUCCAAGGGCAAGGGACCCCUUGAUAAUUCACACAUAUGUUUUCUUUCUUUUUGGUAAUUUAUUAUUUUUUUUGGUAAAUAUAUUUUUAAUUCUUCUAAAUAUAUCAACUUUUAUUUUAAAUUUUUCUAAAAAAAAAUUAAAACUUUAAUCCUGUAAAUUUUAAAAUUUUCAUUUUAUCCUCUGUUUUUUAUGACAUAUCUUGAUUAGUUUGAUGAUUUAAUUAUUUAAUUUUUAGUUUAAUAAUUUUUUUUUUAGUUUAAAUUUAUAGAUAAAUUAAUGAAGAUUAAAAAUUAAGUAUUUAAGGUUGUAUUCCCUUUUUGGGUUGGCUUUUACACUUUUUGUUUGCUUAAAAAAAAUUAAGUAUUUAAAUUAUUAAACUAAUGAUAUUUUAGUCUUAUAUACAAUGACAUGUUAUAAAAAAAUAUCAAUUGGAGCAUGCGACAUAAACUUUUACAAAAAUAAGAGAUUAAAAUUGAAAAUAAAAAGUUUAGAGGGACUAAAGUUUGAAGUAAAUUUUUAGGAGGACUAAAAUAUAUUUAUUCCUUCUAAAAGUGAAAAUCGAUAUCUUUAGAAGGACAAAAAUAUAUUUAAUCUUUUUCUUUCUAAGCUUUUAUUGUUUCCAAAAUAUCACACAUUUGUUGUAUUAUUGACUUUUUUUUUGGCACAUUUUAUUAUUGACAUGUGUAGCUCUAUCCACGUGUCUUAUAUGUUUCCAUUCAUCUCCUAGACUAGAUUUCAGCUUGUUAUUCACAAAAUCAUAUCACUAUUAAAUUAAAUUAAAUUAAAUUAAAUUAAAUUAAUCAUAUGAUAGUAGUAUAGUUCUAUAGCUAAAAGGGGUUUGACCAGUG
rnacentral:lncRNA from 1 species